AGAAGACCCUGUUGAGCUUGACUCUAGUCUGACUUUGUGAAGAGACAUGAGAGGUGUAGCAUAAGUGGGAGCCAAGGGAUCAAUCUUGGCUGUUACUUCGGUGGCAGUUAAGACCCCUUGGCUACAGUGAAAUACCACUACUCUCAUAGUUUCUUUACUUACACGGUUAAAGGGAAGUUGGGAUAGUGUCUCUCUCACUUGGGUUUACCUCAGGGUUCGGGAAGGCCUCCUAUCCUUAAAUUCUAGAGCAAAGUGUGGGUACUUUCAUCAAUGCUCAAGACCCUAUGACUUGUCUUGUUCUUCGGGACUUGAUGAGACUUAGACUUGAGUUUGAAAGGUAACGUGGGUGUACCGUAAAGAAACUUGUUUCUGGUGCAUACUACAAUCUGCAUGAUCCUCACCGUGGACAUUGUCAGGCGGGGAGUUUGACUGGGGCGGUACAUCUGUCAAAAGGUAACGCAGGUGUCCUAAGGCCAGCUCAGUGAGGACAGAAACCUCGCGUAGAGCAAAAGGGCAAAAGCUGGCUUGAUCCAGAUUUUCAGUACGAAUACGGACCGCGAAAGCGGGGCCUAUCGAUCCUUUUGAUUAUUGAGAGUUUCAAUCAAGAGGUGUCAGAAAAGUUACCACAGGGAUAACUGGCUUGUGGGGGCCAAGCGUUCAUAGCGACGUUGAGUUUUUAUCCUUCGCAUUAGGCUCUUCUCGUACUUGUUAAUCA
rnacentral:ncRNA from 1 species